UGACUCAUUAAAUAAGUUGGUAUUGCUGC
rnacentral:piRNA from 1 species